UCGUCCCUGUCUGCCUCCCACACCCUCUGCUGCACUGCACCCCCCGUGUGCCUCCCCACACGGGGGGUGCAGUGCAGCAGAGGGUGUGGGAGGCAGACAGGGACGA